GAGGGAUGGGACAGAGCAGCACUGAUCCUACCCGCCCUGGAAUGGUAUCAGCUCAUCUGCAGAGCCAUCUGAAAGUUGCAGCCAAAAGAACAAGCUGUGACAUCUAAUUAGGAGACCCAACGCAGAAGCUAAGCAUUGAACAGUUCCACCAGACCCCACAGCUUUCCAAGCUCUGCAAAAUCCCGAGUUGGCUGCUCUCUGCUGGGUGGACAUUGGACAGAGGAACCCAACUUCUUCCACAUCGCUUAGGUUGCUCCGGACUCCAGUCUGCGUCAGAAAAACUUUUGAAUCAGGUGUUGAUGAUUGUAGUAAUUAUUUAAAAGCUGAUACUUUAAUAUCACUUCGUUGUGCGAGGCACUAUUUGGCAUUGACUUCCCUCAAGAACUUACUCCAUUAUUUUCUGUUUUCAGUUAAUGAGACUGAGGCUCAGAGAAGUUUAGUAACAUGCUGAAGAUCGCACAGCUAGGACUUGCUAGCAACAGGACUCAGCUUUCCCAAGCAGUGCUGAAGUUAGUUCUCGUAACCAUCUGGCCACAUCUCCAAUCCAAGAUUCCUGGCUCUUUUCCCCAUUGGUGCAGGGUAUCCUGACUGUGCCCAGCACUUGGCUCUGCUUCUAAGCUAAGAACUCAAUGCUGUUCUUUAAUUGGAUUGACAAUGGCUAUUUCAUUAAGUUGGGACCUCAACCCUAAUUGCUAGCAACCACAUAAAGUAUUCCAUUUUAAAUAGACCUCUUUUUUUCAGGUGGCUAAGACUUUAAAAUAAUGAUACUCUAUUAACAAUUGCCAGGAGGCAACAAAUAGUCAUUUUAUAACGUCUAAAUUUUGUGUUCAAAUUAUUAUCUAAAUUUUGUUCUCAUUAGUCAGGUCAUUUUCAAUUACUGCAAGAGUGUGUUGUUGUUUUUUUUACCCAGAUGGUCUUUGCUAUCGCUAAUUAGAAUACAAACAAAAAUAAGACAAACUUCCUCUUAUUUAUGCAUGAUAAAGCUACCAAAAGAGGGGUUAAGUCUGAGCUGUUUAAUAAGGCAGCCGCUGCCCACAUGUGGCUACUGAGCAUCUGAAAGGGGCUGGCUCGAAUUGAGAUGUGUGGUAGUAAAAUACAAAGCAGAUUCUAAACACUCAGAACACAGAAAAGGCUGUGCAAUAUCCCAUUAGCAACUUCUACAUCAAUUACAUGUUGAAAUGAUAAUAUCUCGUGCUAUAUAAAAUGCAUUAUUAAAGUUC